GGACGCUCAACCGACUGCGCCACCCAGGCGCCCCAGUACCGUUUAAUCUCUUGCAAUGCCCGUGGAUCCCCUGCUCACGAGACUGCAGAAUUCUACAUAUGGCUUAGCUGGUGAAACCUUGGAGAAAAGAAAACAGACACAAAUAUGCCCAAGAUGCAGCUUCAGCCUUCCAGACAAGCCAGGACCCUGAGAAAAGAAGAAAAAUAAUGGAAACAAUGUGUCCCUGAAUGACCACAUAGAGCAGAGCUAUCCCACAGCCUCCACCAAGUAGACUAUUGUGUGAGCAGAAAGAAGCGCCAAUCAAUUGCAAGCCACUGUGUAUUGUAUAUUUGGGUCAUUUUGUUUAGCAACUUAGCCUUUACUCUCACUGUUCCUCUGAGCCAAGACAGAUUUGCUCCCUCUCCUCCCACAUUGUCCCACAGGGGAUACAAACAAACCUUGUGGAUGUGGAAAGGAAAACAUCUCUGCUGGCCUCUGUGACCGUCAUUCCACGUAUAGCUCAUUCAAUCAAUGUUUAAUGUGUGCAUGUCUUGUACAGGACUCUGGGCUACGCGUUGUGCAAGAAUGGAUACCAGACUUGCUUGCUCAGAAAAGAGAGGAAAACAUACCCAACAGGAGGUAUCACGAGAAACCUCAAAAAGAAUGUAAUGCUGGAUUUCAUAGGUGGAGAUAAACGAAUGGAAAUUCUAAGCAAGAGGGAAUGCACUAGCAAAGAGACAGAGGCAAGAAAAUUCCUCAAUUUGGCUAGAGCAUGAUGGGAAGGAAGAGAAAGUAGAAGAUAAAAUAAAAAAAAUAUAUAGUUAGACCUCAUUUUUGGGAAAGUAGCCGAAAGAGGUCUGGGACAAAGUAUGGUGAGCCCUAAAUGACAGCCUUUAUCAUUACACAACGGGAAGACAUUGAAACCCUCUGCAAGUCUCAUAACCCAACCAGGCCUAGGCAAAAAUUCUUUUCCUCUUUUUAUUUGAAAUGACCUCUGCUGCUGGCAGGUGACAAGUGAAAGCAUUCAUUUAGUGAAUUGCCUUGAAGAUACAAGGCACUUUUUCUGCUGUAUUCUGUAAAUAUUAACUGUCUCCCCAAGGGAAGAAAACUACUGUCUUCAUUUUAUGAGAAAAGAAAGAGGCUCCACUAAGUGAUAUUGGGACCCCAGCCGGGUCUCAGAAGGAGUCUUGCAGAGAUUCACCAGCUCAGCAAAGAAGAUGAGGCCAUCUUGCAAACAACACUGGAAGUCAGAAUAAGUUACCAUAUUUUGUUCUCAGUUGAAUAAGAAUUACAUGAGGAAAAAGAGAUAUUUCCUGGACUUGUAUGCACUUUUGUUUCACAACCUUUGUAAGUCGAUAUACCCCAGUGGCCUUCUAGCAAAAAGACCAGUCUUCCUGUGAGCUCUCGGAUCUGAGGCAGAUGGCACCUGGUCCACUCUGACAAGACUGUGUAGGGAUAGGAACAGAAAACAAAGAUGAGAAACAAAAAUCUCCUCAGAAUGUCUUUCAGAGUUUAUCCUGUCAGCCACCUACAGGAGACAGGGGAAAAAACAAACAAAUAAAUAAACAAAAGCCCUUCGAUUUCUAUGGACGGUAUUUUUACCCAGAGAGUGUGACCAGCAAUUUUAUUGCUGAUACUCCGACAUUUACUAUUUUUCAGGCUCAGCGGUCAGCACCCAUGUCCUCUGUCCAACCCAGAGUCUCAUAUUUUGUUACUGAUUCAAAGCGUACUCAUAAGUUUUUGCCGUAUGUGCAAGCUAUACACACAGACUCAAGUCUCCAAAAUCAUAAUAGUGUUUUGAUGGAAUCAAUUUGCCUCUGGACGGAAUCUGGUUGGUGAUUUGGCUUCAAUACUUGUAAUUACUCGAGUGAUGUAAGACUUGAAAUAGAGAGACCACAAUUGCCAUAAAUAAUACUGUAAGGAAUCACAGCUGCAUUUUUCCUUUCUCUUCCCAGCAGUAUUUAUGACUCAGCAUUGAUAUCUGUGUAUUGCUUAUUGGCUUAUCUGACUGAUUCUUAUCUUAUCUGAUUGCUUAUUGGCUUAUCUGAAGCCUAUGAAUUCCUUGAAGAUAGGAACCACAUCCUGUUUUUCUCUUUAUCCCAAGCAUAGAAUAGUACCUGACACAAAUUAAGCGUUUAAGAAAUACUGGUCAAGUUAUCUAAUGAAUGAGUAAACGGUGAAUUGCAUGAAUGAACGAAUGAACAAGCACUGGAUUUCUCGGUAGGUCUUUAUCCAUCAUAAAUAAGGUCCCAGAGCCCACGUUUUGCUACUGUUAAGAUACCAGAGAAUGCGACGAGGGAGGAGUCCCUGACACAUCAGAAAACUUUCUCAGGGACUGAAAGCCAAGCAGCUUCUGAACAAUUUACUCAGAACUCUGAAUAAAGACAUCAGCUUUCUAGGCUGUGUUGACUAUGCACUAGUUAACUGCAAUGUUACACUACUGAAGAAAAUAUGCUCACCGUUCCAAACCUCAGCGGGAUCUAAGAGGAGCCAAUAUUGUUCAGGCACCAGGAGCUGUGUGUCUUUUACCUCCCAAAGGUUAAAAACUUGUACAUUUGGUGGCAAUGAGCUGGAUGAACACCAUGAUUCCACUAAGCUCAAACAUUCUGUCUCUACCAGGGCAAAUGAUAAGAGAACUCUAAAGAUACAAUUCUAAAAUACUCUUAACAUCAGCAUGUCCAUUCUAUUCAGUUCAAAGCCUCUGCAUGAUAAGUGGUAAGCUGUUUGGUUUCCUAGUCUCAAUGUUCUCAUCUGAAAAAUGGAGACUCACAAAUAAGUGGACUCAUAGUAUUUGCCAGCAAAGUGGACAACACUAAACAAACAUUGACUGAUAGGGUUUAAAAUACAGUCCCUGAUGCUAAAGACACAAAGAACUGUGACCAUGAUGUGCUAAGUACAAUGAGAGCUGUAAGUUCACAAUGUUACAGAAACACAAAGAAAUACCCGACCUCAGCAUGGUACAGGGCUGAGGUUCUCCUGAAGAUGUCCCCUCAUCUGAGACUUUGAGGAUAAUUAAGAGUUUAGGUGUCAUCAAGUGGGGAGAUGGCAUUUCAGGCAUCAGGAACAGUAUGAACAAAGACAUAGAGAUUAGAAACCCCGUGGUAGGGGCACCUGGUUGGUUCAGUCCUCAGUCAAUAGAGCAUGUGACUCUUGAUCUCAAGGUCGUGAGUUCAAGCUCCAUGGUGGCAUUAGAGCCUACUUAAAUAAAUAAAUAAAUAAAUAAAUAAAUAAAUAAAUAAAACCAUGUGGCAUACUGGAAACCACUGCUGUCUGGUGUUCCUGGAGUCCAAAGCUGAAGAUAUGGCAGAAGAGGUAUGCCAGGGCCAUCAAGAUGAGAGCCAUUGAACUAUGUUAAGCAAGAAGCCAUUUGGCCAUAUCUGUCAUUCAGAAAGUAAAUCCUUGUAGCUGAGGAGAAAAUGGUGACAAUGUUGCCUGAGCCCCGCACUGCUGGAAAAUGGUGAAGCUUUAGAAGUUCUUUUGUGUUCUGAAAAUACUGACAAAGAAGUCCCCAAAGCCUUAGGAACAAGCCUGGAGACCACAAGGGACCAUUGCAACAGUCCAGACCAGAGUUGGAGCAACUGAACUAGCACACUGAAGUGAUUUGAAGUGGCAAGAAAUGUUUACAAGGUGAACUGACUGGAAACUGGUCGUGCUCUAGACAAUCUAAACGCAAGAUGCUUCUAGAGAGAAGGAAGAGUCUGCAUCUUGCCUGGUCGCCCUCACUAUGUGUGUGAUCUCUUCCUGGGAGGAUGCUCAGAGCUCCCGGUGCCUUCUCUGUGCUCUCUCUGCACUUGCUGCGUCCUUGCACUGUUGCACAGGUACCAUGCAAUCACUUGUUCCUAUAACUGCCUCCCGAUGAGCUGUGAGCUUCCUGAGAACAGGGUUCAUGAUUCCAGUCACCUUUGUACUCCCAGCACCAAGUGGAGCACCUGGUGUUCUAGAAACAGCCACCAAUCAGUGCACCAAUCAGUGCACUGAUUCACAUUAGAGACAAAUUUACAAAGCCAUUUUAUGAUUUCUCGAUAUAUCCAUAUGUGUGCAAGUUCUCAGUAAAUAAUAAAUGACUGGGAAAAUAAUAUUAGGUAACAUUUAUUCUAGAUUUACUAUGUGCCAGGCACUGUGCUAAGCAGUUUGAGUGCACGUUCUCCUUUAAUAGCCACUAAACCCCCUAAAAAUUAAGUAUAAUAACUAUCAUUCUUAUUUUACUGAUGAGUAAAGUAAGACUAGAAGAAGAAAUUUUCCAUAAGGAAACAGAAGUGGGAUUCUGACCUUUUGUCUGACCCAAGUUCACACACUUAAUUCCUACAUACUGUUAUUUUCCUUCAAUCUCAGAAAUGGCUGUGACCACCUCAUCACGGGAGAACUGCUCAUCUUUACAUACAAUGGAAAAUCUGAAUAAUCGUAUGUCAAAGAGAAAGACAGAUGAUUAAAAUGAGCAAUGGAGCUUACUCUUUCAGGCAAAUGCCAGAAAGACAAAAAUCAUUUGGGAAUGUGUAUGCCAUAUUUAUAAUUCAAUAGAAACACUGACUCGAGGAGGAGAUGAGACCGUGAGAGCCUUGCUGUUCUGUGCUAACCGUCAGUCAGCAUAAAGAUUACCUUCCAAAGCACUGCAGCCAGGAACACACACACACACACACACACACACACACACACACACACAAAACCUGAAAAGCAUCAUUUCUGCAACAUGUGUGCUUUUCUAAAACACUUUGUGCAUUUCCUUGGCACAUUUCUGCAUUAAGCAGCUAGAAGAUGCAGAGAUUUAGAACAGCCAGCAUGGUGCACUCUAGAGCUGACUGGCUACAAAUGUGACCCUCACUUACCAAGAAAGUUGAUAUUUCAUUUGCUGUUCAUUAAUCUAAAGCCAUGUGACUACAGAUAAGUUUGUAUUAGGGUAAAAAUACUAUGAACCAGAGAGUUUGAUUUCUAGUUUGUUAUAACCUGCAAGGGAACAUCCUUGCAGAACUAUGGUAUGGGACUCUGAAAGUGAUCAGCCCUCUAAUUGCACCUGAGAUAUGUUUUAAAUCAUUUUAUCUAAGACACACUCCAGAGUGACAGCCAUGUUGUGGGCUUAAACAUACAGAAAGCAUAAUCAGCAUGAGCUUUCAGCCUAGCCAGCUGCCGGAAGAGAAGAGAGACAUUUAAGAAUGAGGAUAUCCUAAGACCACUUCAGACUGAAUUGGUUCCCUCUGAGAGGCCGUGAGCAGGGCACCAACCUCGCUGACCCUGUUUUCUAACCUCUGGGAAUGCUGAGGAUCAAAGGGAAGGGGGAAGGGACUGAGGUCGGUGAUGUAUGACAUCGCUCAACUGAUGUCCUGCAGUUCUUCUUGUUGUUAUGCAGGUUUUAAACUGAAUUUCAAAUAGUCAAACUCAUGCUUAGAAAAUAUAAGCAAUCAAAAUUAGAUAUCCUUUAAUAAAUAUGAUGAAAACAUAUAACAAGGGUGAUGUGAUGGGGAAAAUUGUUGAUCAAUGAUGUUUUUUCUGAGGGGAGAGUGUUGAGAGGCCCAAGAACAAGCAGGUUCUACUUCAUGUGGUUGGAGGUAGAGGCAGGGAGCCCAGCAAGAGGCUGUUGGAGUAGUUGAGACCGGACCUGCACCAGACAAUGAAUUGGGCAAGGGGUCCGGAGCCCAGCUUUCAAGGUGUGCCCUGUCCCGUAACUUCAGAAAUUACUUCAUGCACUUCUGCCUCCUCCUUAAUCCUUAGUAAGAUGUUUGAACUGCUUUACUCAUUUAUGCUCAAACAUUUAUAUUACUCUCCUAUACACACGCUCCUUCAACUUUGGACAACAUUGCAACUUGGUUCUAACUUCACUGAGAUCCCAAAAAGUAAAAAUGAGAGAGAGAGAGAGAGAGAGAGAGAGAGAGAGAGAAAGGGAGCAAUGUGGGUGGGACUCAUCCAAUCAGUUGAAGGCCUUUUGAGCAAAAUCUGAGAUUUCCCAGAAAGGAAGAAAUUCUCCCUCAAGACUGUAACAGAGAGAUCCCACCUGAUCUUCCAGCCUGCCAGCCAGCCUCACACACUUCCAAUUCAAAACUGCAUCAACUUUUGCCUCAGCUUCCAGCCAUGGCCUGCCCUGAAGACUUAGGAUUUGCCAGCCUCCACAAUUGCAUGA